AUCUAUUGUUGAUAAAUCAUGAGCCAUCAUUAACAGGAUAAUCAUCGCCAUUGUUGUCAUCAUAUAACCAUCAUCAGUUGUAAAAUGAACAGUUGAAUCGAAAGUGAUGAGAAGCCAUGUUGAGACAAGUGCGAUGUAAGAAAAAAGAUGAAGCAAAAAGCCAUAGAAGGAGAAAUAAAGUUGUUUGGUUAAACAAGAAGUUAAACAAAGACGAGGAAAGAAAAGCAGACGAUGCAAAGGGAAAAAUGGUGCAUUAGGAGGAGGAGGAAAAGGAAUGGAAAAGAUGAAAAUGAGCAACGGAAAAAGAGAUGAAUUCAAUCAAACUCAGCUGACUCCACAGAUCUUGUUAUUCUGGCUGUUCGACUUUUCGCUUUACACUCAAUGUUUAUUCUUGGUGGAUUAGGAUUUUUAUUGUUAAUUUGGAAUCAAGAUUCAUUACCUCUUAUGUUUAUUUGUGAUGAAGCAUGGACAGAUUCGUAUUCAUUUGAGGCAAAACAUUGGUAUAUUCCUCGGUGUUUACUUUUGAUCGAUUCAAUGUGAAGCAAAUCUUUUGCCACUAAAUGUAUCCCGAGUUCAGAUGAAUCUCCUUUAAUUGGUUUAUGAUCUUUCUCCCAUACUAUUGAAUCUAUUGGAUGGCCAGUUACCGAACAGUUAAGAAAUAGUGAACUUCCAACAUCAGUUGAUUCACUUGAAGGCACCAGUUUUGCGGACAAUGGAGCUGUUAAUCAAAUGUAAUUUUCAUGUUUGAUGGUUUCCAGUGUAAUUGAUGUUAGUUAAAGCAAAAGGAAGAAGACAGUCAGAGGAGAGAAAAAACAAUGGUAACAUGAUUAUUAAAUAAAUGUCAUGAUCAUAAUAGCUUAGAAGUGUAUAUCAAAGAGUAAUUGGGAUCAACAUCAACACUAUCAUCAACCUUAUCAUUAUUACUAUUAUCUUCGUCACCAUCAUCAUUAUCAUCAUCAGAUUUAUGGAUCUCCAGAGGAAUCAUGAGACAAACUGAUUUUGUUUUUUUACUUCUUCCUCUACUAAUACUUGCAAGAGCAAAAGGAAGUCACAAAAAAACAAUAUUCCAGUAUAAUUUUUCCAUGUCAAACGAUUGGUAAAGUCACCCGAAAAGAAGCUGCUUAUUACUCUCUCUAUUUGGUGCAACGAUGAUUAAACUCGACAAAACUCUUCUGACAAUUGUUGUCAAUCGUAACAUACAUUUAAAGAUACAUCCAUGGAUAGUUGGAAUCAUGUACAGUCGGCUAUUUUUUCUUCUUCUUCUUAUUGCUAAAUAGUUAUAACACAAGGAAACAAUCAAUUGCUGCUGCUGUUGAUAAUGAUGAUGAUGGUGGAAAGGGGUUGAUGGAUAAAAAAGAUGAUCACAAGAGGAAUCAAGGAGAAGAGGAGGAAGACAAGGCAAAAAAUGGUUUGCAAUAAGCAUGGAGGAAACAAGGAGUUGCAUAGAUGAACCAACGAGAUAAACUGAACAAUCUGUAGAAAUGAUGAAGAUAAAGAUGAAUGUUUGCCUAUUAUGUUACAUACCAAGAAUCUUGGUGAACAGAUUUAACCAAAAGGGAAAUAUUAUUUACACAAUUGCUUGUAAUAUCAUUCAUUACUUCAACAUUUCUCUUUUUUGUUUCGUUUGUUUGCUUUUUUUGUAUCAAUCUCUACAUUUCGUGAUUUCUACCUUUACAUGUAAGUCUUUGUUCAUUCUCACUAACCAUGUUAAAUCAAUUGAUGUUUGAUGUUUAUCACCGUUUAGCCGUUUAAAUUACCUGUAAAGUCGAAAAGAUUCUCUGUUUUUCCCUUUCCAAAUGUUUAUAUUAUAUGCAUAAAAACAUCAACAUGAACAAAUGGAAUUAUCGAGAAACACGAAUCUAGAAUGGUGAAUAUGAAUCUAUUACCUGUACAUUAAGAGGUUAACGUGACAGUCUUUACCUGAUUUACUAUUCUUUACCAUCUUAUUAACAUUGAAUCAUGAUAAGUUGAUGAUUCUAAAUUUGACAACACAUAUGGAAACAGCAAAUGGAAACAAAUUGAACAUUAAAAGUAAAGAGAGAAAAGAGAAAAUAUUUUAUUGUUUUCAAUCUAAAAAACAUUUCAAAUGGAAAAUCAAUUUACAUCUCACUUAUCCAAAUCAUCAACAUCACCACCACCAUCAUCAUCACUGAUUAUCCUGAAACAAUACUGAUAUCUUGAACCGUAAACAAAAUAUUAUUUUGAAUAUUGAGCUUAACCUCAUCGUUUUGAUACUUUUAAAAGCACCUAUUCAAUGGAAGUUGCGGGAGCGAUCAAGUGUUUAAUGGCAACCAAUUAUGUCAAUAGCGACCAUCAGCUAAACCUCCCACUGAAGUUAUCAUCAAAAAAAGGAUAUAUUUAUAUAUAUAACUAAACUAUGUUUCUAUUUCUCCAUCUUGAUCUAACAAAACAUUAUUCUGUCUGAAACUAAACUCAUUCUCCCAAGAUUCAGAAAAUGAUGAUGAUGAUGAUGAUGAUGAUGAACUAGAAGAAAGUUAGAGAAAAAACUAACAUCAUUUCACCUUAAACUUCUUCUUGUCCUCAUAACGAAAAGAUGAGCCUAAUAUCAUAUUGAUUGAAAGCAUCAGUUUUAAUCUUCAAAUGAUGAACCAAAUACAGAAACAGAUUCUAUUUUUUCUUCAUCAUCAUCAUCAACAUCAUCUUUUUUCCCUUCUCUAUUGUUUCACCUCCUUCAUGUUUCUUUCCUCGCUUUUUUCGCCUCUUCUU